rnacentral:lncRNA from 1 species
UGCACUGGCACCGGCGGUGGAUCAACUUUCUUCGGCGGCUUAGGUGGGCAUGGCUUCUUGGGGAUUGGCGGUGGCUUGUGUACCGGAACCGGGGGUGGGUGCUCUAUCUUUGGUGGCGGCUUGUAAACCGGAACCGGAGGUGGGUGCUCUACCUUUGGCGGCGGCUUGUAAACCGGAACCGGUGGUGGAUGCUCUAUCUUUGGCGGUUUAGGCGGACAAGGCUUCUUAGGAAUCGGCGGUGGGAGCUCCACCUUUGGAGGUGGUUUGUGAACCGGGACAGGAGGGGGAAGCUCUACCUUUGGAGGUGGCUCGUGAACCGGGACAGGUGGGGGAAGCUCUACCUUAGGCGGUGGCUCGUGAACCGGGACAGGUGGCGGAAGAUCAACCUUUGGGGGUGGGUCGUAAACCGGGACCGGAGGUGGGCAAGGUUUCUUGAAUUUGGGGAACGGUGGAAGCACCAAAGGUGGAGGUAAAGGGAAAG